GGGUCAGUAGGUUGGUCGUGCCACCGGUACGUACUGGUCUCACUGAUUCCUCCUCCCUGAAGAACCGUAAUGCCAUUAAUUUGGUGUUGCGGGGAAACAGGACUGUAACUUUGAAAAAAUUAGAGUGUUUAAAGCAAGCUAACGCUUGAAUACAUUAGCAUGGAAGAAUGAAAUAGGACGAUCGAUCCUAUUUUGUUGGUCUCUAGGAUUGACGUA
rnacentral:rRNA from 1 species